UAGGGCACUCAAAACUGAACCGAAGAAACCACUUUUUCACUCUCUAGAACAUUUCGAUUCCCAUAACGCAAAAUGGCCAUGCGAUCGGUGCUCGGUCGAUCAUCGUUGACUCCCCUGACGGCGCGUGCCGCCGGCGCCGGUGGAUUCCGAUUUCUCUCCGACGGAAAAGGUCGAAUUCUUAGUGAGGAGGAGCGUGCUGCCGAGAACGUCUACAUCCAGAAAAUGGAAAGAGAAAGGCUGGAGAAGCUGAGGCUUAAGGCAGAGAAAGAAAAGGCCGAGAAGGAGAAAGAACAGUCUGAGAAGAAACGUGAAGGGACCCAGUAGAUAACGGUGGGCACAUCUGCUUUGAAGUUUGAUCGCGGGAAUAAAAUGUGAGAUUCCAUCCCCCACCCCAAACGGCCACUAUUCCGUAGCUAACUGUUAAAUCCGGAUUUGGUCUUUGUAUAGAUAAACAACAACGUUGCUCGUCUUUACCUGUACUUCCUUCCACUCUGAAAUUGGUAUUAGCUUUGUUUUGAGACGCCCUUUGGACCCAAUUUAAUGUUUUUCCCCUUCUCUGUUCUUAGAUUAACUUGAAGGAGAAACCAUAAACAUAUCCUCUAGUUUAGUUCGUAAUUAGACUUGCUAGAUUAGAAACUUGCUUUGAUUGUUCCUUUGGGUAUUUGCUUUGGCGGUUUUUCUGCUCAUAGUGUGUGCAGCCAUAAAUAUUGUAUAGUGCAGAAUUCUGGUAGGACACGAUAGAUAGAUGGAAGGAGGCGAUGUAGUCAAUGACGACCCGAAACCCAGUCUUCUGCUAGAUACAUUGCUGCAUCAGCUGCUAGGACUGGAGAUCUACUAAAAGAACCGAAUAUUUGGAUAAGCGAGAAAAGAGAAGGAAUUUUUUGGGAUUUACUUAGGGUCAUUGGAAAUAGCCCUCAAAGUUUCAAACCUUUUGACAAAUAACACUCUUUUGGGGCAAGGAGUGGAAUUCAGAAAACUGAACUCUGGAGAAGUUUGGAGGGUAGAGCUGAGUAGUCGUCUGUGUUUGGAACCUGAAGUUGUCAAGUUGGGGUUCAAUUUUUUUUUUUCCUUCGU